UGAAAUAUUAGUAUUUAUUUUGAUUAUAAUAACUCACAAAAUUUCAGGUUACAAAAGGUGCACAAGGAAACUUGAGAACAUAAUGCACAUAUUAUAGUUCUGGUUAUGGUUUGGUAUAUAUAUGCGUAUAUUGAAGCCUAUCAAAUUGUGUACUUUGAGUAUAUGUAGUUUAUUUGCUAAUAGUAAGUACGUUAACAAAUUUAUUAAAAAGUCAAUGACCAGUACAUUUAAAAUACAUGAAUAUUCCUGCAUCAAAAUUUUAACUCAGUAAAAUCCAAUAAAAAUGUUGACGCAAAUAAGAUCUUGAGCUUUUAUUUCCAUUUAUCAUUUUUAGCCCUCAUCCAUUCGGGUAUAUGUCAUGAUAAUAAUGUGCAAUCAAAAGUGACUUCAGAUUUGAAGAGCGAUACUCUGUAUGUGCAGGUAUUAAAUAUAAUGAUAGAUUCACAUUUAAUUGUAGAAUGCAAGUUCACUGUGGGUACAGAAAACGAGGUCUAAUAUGCCAAUGACACAAACUCACCUAAAAAUUACUGUGAACAACCAUUACAAGAUUGCCUACAACUAAAUUUCCACUUUUAGGAAAUAAAUUUUAUACUUUAAAUACCAGUUUAGCUUCUAUAGAGACUAUGUAAAUCUGUUUCAACUCUGUUACAACUGCUUUCUGAUAUCUUCUCCUUUAAAAACACGUAUAUUUUUAUAAAUAGAUAUAAAUUCAUAUACUACAUAUACUUAUGAAUAACUAUCCAUACAAAGAGCAAUUUCUUUUAAUCUCAAAGUAUUGUUUUAAAGGUAGAUGAUAUACAUGUCUAUUUUUUGGUCCAGUUAUAUAUUUUCCAGUUUUGGAAACAAUGCUUUGCAUAAAACCCAUGCAAUUUCAGUAAUCAGAAUUUAAAAUGAAAACUAUAUAUUUUCAACAAAUCUCCUUGUUUAUCUGUACAAAGCAAUACUGAAUUCUUAAUAAACAUCUAUGGUUUUUAAUGAUAUAAUUAAUACUAUUAGGAAAGAAAACAUUAAUGACAUAAGAGAAAGUAAAGACAAGUAUUCAUUUUGCAAUGGUGCCUAUGCAUAUGGUGACAGCGUAGAAAGCAAUGUCUGCAUCAGUGUAAUGCCCCCAAUUUCUAAAAUUUGAAAUAUUAAGAUAAUUAGUUGAAUAACACUCAGAAUUGUUUGACUCCAAGCAGAGGUUCCAGCCUCAUUAUGAUACUGAAAUUAUUUUACCCAGUUCUUCCCCAUUGGUUUUUAUUCCAUAGUCUGAAGCAUAGAAUGACUAGUCACUGAAUCAGAUUAGAAAACAUAAUGAACACUGCAGGAGCACUGUUGUACCAAGAAGCCUGACGGUCAAAGAAGAACUGCACUUGAUCUUACGCACAAUUAAGCACAGCACCAGACGUUAAGUACUCCAGGGUAGGUCUUCCAUGUUUCACAAUUUAGUUCAAGUCUGAGAAAUCAGUCUGGUAUUCAACUACCUAUAAGUAUGUAUAUAUUAUACUUUUAUGUAUUUAUUUGUAGAUACAUACAUGUAUGUAUGUACACAUAUAUACAUAUAUAUCAUACUUUUAUGUAAUACAUAUGUAUUUAUCAUACUAUUUUAUGUUUCAUGAUGUAAACUCUGUUAUAUCUUAGAAAUAAGACUAUUGGUAACAUAAUAACAUAUUCAUUUAAAAAUAUUUUAGUCACAGAUUCUUAUUCAUUGCUGUCUUGAUUAGCAUAAUACUAAGACUGCCAUGUAAUAUGUUGAUUAAAUAAAAUUCAUAUUAAUAAACUGUAUUCAUUUACUUUUGGGAAAACAUCUGAAGAACAUGAUUCCUUGAGCUGUAUUUAUCCAAUGUUGUGUUUAAUUAGUUGGGAGUGAAAUUCAAAUAUGAAACAUAAAAUCAAAGGCUUGUUAAAAAAGGUUGUGCAUGAAAUUUUAUGACUACUAUUGUUUCUCGAAAUAAUAUGUUAGAUAAUAAAAUUUUAAAACAGGGAAAACUUUUUAAAUUAAGUUUUGCUAUGAAGCUUUAGGAAAAAAUAAUGUGGAGAAAAUUGUAAUGUAAGUGAAACAUAAUAGUGAAACACACCAGUGAAAUUAACACUUCAAUUAUUAAACCUUGUACCAACCUUAAGUUCUACAAACCUAUGAUUGAACUCAGUGUUUCCUCACUAUGACCCCUCAAAAGCUCUUGGAAGUAUAUCAGUUCCAUUAAACUUCACUCAAGCUCCAAAACUUUAAUAAUCUUGCUUAAGUAACCCCUAAUUCCCCACUUCAGGCUAAUAUUAAACUUAUCUUCUCUUCUACAAAUACUCUCCUAAAGGAUUUCAUUCAAUCCCCUUAUGGCUUAAAAAACAUCUAUACACUGAUGACUCCAAAAUAUGUAUCACCAGUCCCUAUUGACUUUUUCAUGAAUUCCAGUUCAAUAUAAUCUACUGAAAACAUAACAUUUCCACCAAGAUACUUAGCUGGCAUUUCAAACUAUACAUGUUCCAAACCAAACUUUGGUUUACUCUCCCAUGCCUGCUCCCAUUCUGACUUUUCUGUCUCAAUUUACAAACCUAUCAUCCAUCUUAUCAACUUUUUUCACACUUCAGAUUGAAGAUCCCGUCUUCAAUCUUACUGCCAUUAUCUCCAACUUAUGUGCGUUAUUCAACCAUUUAUUUUCACCUCCUUAGUUCCUAGUCACUAUUAUCUCUUUUGCAACAGCAUAUCAACCUGUCUCUAAGUUUGCAUCUGAUCUACUGAAUUCUAUUUUCCAAAUAGCUAUUAGAAUAAUUUUAAAUGUUAAGUCUGAAGAUCAUCUUACACGGUGAUCAAAAUUUCCCUUUACUUUCCAUCAAACUCAGAAUCAUAUAUCAUACCUACAUGGUUAAUGAAACACUAAAGGACCUACUUUCUCUUACAUCUUAGAACCCAUCAUCCACCAUUUCCCCUCAAUCGUUUCUGCUAAGCUACUAGCACCUGUUGUCACCUCCAGGGGAGGAAUGUUAUUGCGUGAAGGAUAGCCAAAAAGCAAAGAAUGUAACAAUGUCUACCACCAGGACCAGUGAUCCCAGCAUGUAAACUCACUACGUUGUUUGCAGGUGUCAGGGUUACGAAGAGAGGCACAAAUUACCCAGACAUUGGAUGGAACGUUUUACUCAUUUAGCAAGAGACAGAGCAGGUUUAGCCUUCAUAGUAAGCCUCGGUCCCCCAUGGCUAUUGCCUCUUCUCCACAAACUUCAUGUACUGCAGGUAAAAUAUCUAUUUCUCUCCCCAUAAGAAAUAGUAAUAGCAGUGGGAUGGGCCAGGUGCUGUAUCAUGCACAUGUUUUACCAAAACAAAAAAGUGUACAUCAAGCCCAGAUCAUGGAAAGACAUGCCCCCAAAAGAUGAUACAUUCAGCACAGCCUGCGAGGCCUCUUUAUCUCCAUGUAAGGAAAUGUUUUCUCUGGGCCUGAGGCUCACUUCUAUGAAACCUUGUAAAGGUUGUCAGGCCAUGUGUGACUGUCAAUCCCCAAAAAAACACUUUUGGCCCUGGAUUGGCUACUGAAAUAGCAGAUAAAGUACAUAAAAUUUGGUAGGGCCACCUCUUGUCCCCAAAUUUGUAAGGAGAGUUGUGUCCAGUGAACCCCUGAACAACACUUUAUAGAUGCAGUUUCCUCACAGACCCUCUGUCAUUUUGAGACAUCAGGGUCACUAGGAGAACCAGACCCAGGAGGAUGAUGAGGCCUCCCUGGCAGAUAAUUCUUAACCAGGAACCCCAAGUGCCUGAAUUAAAGCAAUUAAAUAGAUCACAAAAUGAGCUUCACAGGUAGGAGGGGUGUACAGCUGAUGAUCUCCAGCCUGAGCAUGGAUCUCCUCCAGCUCAGUUUCUACCUUCUCUAAACUAUUGAUAUUUACACAGCAAAGGGUGUUGGUAAAAGCACAAAUGCCAACCUGUUCUGCUAGCAGACAAUGAGGCCUGUUCAAUUGUCCAUUACCACAUUGACUAGUGAGUUUAUUGGGUUUUGUUGAUCUUGUAUGGACUAAGUAGGAUUAUUAGCUAUUUCCACCAUGAUUAAGGACAGAUUGUAUACCAUUUGUCCUACAGCUUGUACACCUAUGUCUGGUAUUAAAAUAGGAGCAGCAAAAUAAAACCAGCUGUGAGUUUGUACUACCAGGAGGACGUUAUAAACCAGUCA
rnacentral:lncRNA from 1 species